AAUGAACGCUGGCGGCGCGCCUAAUACAUGCAAGUCGAGCGAGAAGACGUAGCAAUACGUUUGUAAAGCGGCGAACGGGUGAGGAAUACAUGGGUAACCUACCCUCGAGUGGGGAAGUAACUAGCCGAAAGGUUAGCUAAUACCGCGUACGCUCCUUGGACUUCGGUUCAGGGAGGAAAGCGAUACCGUGGGUAUCGCGCUCUUGGUUGGGCUCAUGUCCUAUCAGCUUGUUGGUGAGGUAACGGCUCACCAAGGCUUCGACGGAUAGCUGGUCUGAGAGGACGAUCAGCCACACUGGCACUGCGACACGGGCCAGACUCCUACGGGAGGCAGCAGUAAGGAAUAUUGCGCAAUGGGCGAAAGCCUGACGCAGCGACGCCGCGUGGGGGAGUGAA
rnacentral:rRNA from 1 species